UAGCUUAGUGGUCAAAGCAUUGGUGUUUAAAACCUAAAGGUCCCGGGUUCAAUUUUCGG
rnacentral:tRNA from 1 species